CGUGGGGAGAUCCAACAGUCUCUUCCUGGUCUCCCCAACCAGUUAACCCCCAACGCUUCACCUUCUCUAGGAAGUGGUUCAAGGGACCAGUGGGAAACAGGGUGUGUUGGUGAAUUCUGGGCAUCCCCCCCGCCCCCCGUAUGUCAAAGUUUAGGGUAACCAACCUCUGCCCUCUGUUUGCUUGUCGGAAACCCCCAAGGGCUGGGGAAGCCGAGAUUCCCGGCUUCGGAUCUGAUAACCUCACUCGGGAGGUCACGGGUGCCCGCGCCCUGGUCAUCUCCCUCGGGCGGGAAGGAGCAAGAAUGCCGUUUCUCCGCCAGCUGCGCGCUCCGCUUCCGAGGCGGCAGCGACACACGGCGCAUGACCAAAGGAUUCCCAAAGGCCAUCCUCGGUCCCGAAAAGAAAUGGUUUCCGUGGCCCGGCACGCCUCGCCGAGCGAGCGCAGCGACAGGGGUCCUGCCGGAGCUCGCCUGGGACUCCCCGUGCACCGGCCGAACCUCGCCUUUCCGUGACUCUUACAGAGAGGAGCUAAAUUGCAAUCGACUCGGGCCGCGCUUUUCGGAGGAAAGCCUUUCCUACUGUAAACGUGGCUCGGGCGAUGCUCGCCGCGGCUCUUCCGAGAGGGUCACGGCCAGGCAGGCGCUGGCGACGCCCCUCCAGCCUGCUCCGGCUCCUGGGCCUCCUUUGAAGUUGCAGCUCCAGCAGCCACUUCGGAAGGGGGUGGGGUGGGUGGGAUCCUGCCCAGCCCCUCCCCCGUCGCGCCCCUCCCCUGCCGCCAGCUUGGACCUGACCGCUGGGGCCCAGUUCCGCCACUGACCGGAACCGACAGCCAUUUGGUCCCUUGGAGCACUCGGGUGCCUAACAGCCCCUCACCCUCUGUGACCCUCUCCUGAACUAAACAGUACGCACUCAGUGUUCGGGACUCAUGCUUCAGCUCCCACGACCGGUCCGGUGGGAGGGGCAGUGCACCCACAGCGGCCCAGAGCUCUUUCCUAGAGAAGGAACGAACCGGACACUUUUGCUCCCCAUCCACAAGUCCUAGCUCGAUCGGGAAGGUGGAGGUGUCUCUGUCAGUGAGUCCACAGGGGACCUUGAAGGCACCCCAGAAUGCCAGGAGCCCUUCCCGAGGGGGCGUGCCCUAUGCUCGGGGGCCACCGAGGAAGAGGGAUAACUGAAAGGCUGAGUCCGGGAGCUUCGUUCCUCCGGAGCUGAGUCUGUUUUCUUCCUGCAGCCCCCGAAAACAGGACCCGGAGUCCUGCUAGGGCAUCCCCUCCCAACCCUGGCGUGCCUCCCCCGUAUUCCUCAUCCUCCAGCCCACAGCCAAGUAAAAGCAAUUACAGUUUGGAAUCCCAGGAGGCAAGCAAAUGAUUUCGCUUAUGAAAAGAACCGACUAGAGUUCCCUAAAGGUUAGGGAACGAGGGAGCCGCCUUGGAGGCUGAGAGACAGCCUUGGAGGCGGGCGGGGACAGCGGGCAUGCCGCCGGAGAGUGGUCCACGGAAGCCACCACGCAGUGUCAGAGAAGAGGGGAGGAGCAAGAGCAAAGGCGCGCUCGCGCGUCCCUGCAGAGGACGAGCAGGCAAUCGCGGAGGCUGCCAGGUGAUGGGAGUCAGAGGAGGGGAGAAGCGUGCACCCCACCGGCAGCUGGCCGGGCGGCGGGCUCCUCCCGGCACACGAACUCUCCUUUCCCAGCCUUUCCCCUCCGGCUUCCCGCGCGUGCAGACUGCACCAAGACGCACACCGCGCUGGGGGCGCUCGCGGGCAUGGGAUGGGCGGGGUGCGGCAGGAACCAAAGAGCCCUGUGCCCCACACCGCGUAGGGCGUGCUGCACACCUGGCACCCGGGACUCACCAUCUGUUCAGAGCUGCCUCCUCGGCCCUAGGGUGUGGCCUGGGGAUAGAUAAGAGUACUUUGUGGCAGCGACGACUCCUCAUCAACUGCCACUUCAACUGCCAAUCAGCGUCGUGAGUGCCCUACUAUGUGUCUCCGCUCAGCUUCAGAGCUUCCCGCUGCAGGUCUCAGGCACCAUAUCAUCUGUUCCGCUCCUCUGCAAGCUACAAGAGAAUCCUGUAUAUGCUGUAAAAUAAGUUCACACCGAACCGUAAGGCAGAGGCAAACUAGCCUUUGUAAAGAGGCAAAUUUGGGGACCAAGAGGAGGGUGGUGUUUGUUGGAGGAACCUAGAAUAGAAGUUCAUGAAUUUUUUUUUUUUUCUAACUAGUUCCUGAAGCAUAAAACUCCACGCACGGGCUGUUUGUCCCCCGCUCACAGUGUACAGACAAAAUGAAAAACAAUUUCAAGUUGGGUGUGGUGGUUCACACCCUUAAUUCUCAGCACUUGAUUGAGGUCUGUGACAGCUACUCCAAAUGAUGACAGCCGUUAAGGUGGACUGGAAGACUGACAUCCAGGUGCUGAAAUCUCAGGCGCAGGAAGAGAGGUGGCAGCCGUUGACAGCCACAGGAAGAGGGAAGUGUGACCCAGGUGGGUGGUGUGAGCAUCAAAGGAGAGGGAAUUUUCACAGGAGGAAAGAGACUUCACCUCUGAGAGUACCAAAGCUGAGUGGGUCCUGGAUGUCGGGAGUGCUCUGAGCUGAGAGCCGACAGGAAAGGGAUUUCUGGCAGAGGACUUAGAGAACCACUGAAUGGCUUUUGGAAGAAGGUGCUCACAUUGCCUAACACUGAUAUCUGAGAUGUUUUUGUUU